rnacentral:lncRNA from 1 species
CAACCUCACAAAAUAGUUAUGGGGAUAAAAUUCUAUAAUUCUUUUAAAACCCUGAAAGAUUUUUUAAAUUUAAGAUAUAGUAGCAGUUAACCAGUAAGAAAUCUAAAUCCUACUUUGUCGGGUUGUCAUGAGAAACAAUUAAGGCAAUUUAUGUGAAGUUUAUUAGCUGGUUUGCUGCAAGAUAUAGUAUAUCUAUAAAUAACUGUUCAAUAAAUAUUUGCAGUAUCUGUAAUGGAUCAGUAGUAAUGGAUAAGAGUAAAAAAAUUUUUGUUUUCUAAAAAAAUUAAAUAUUUGCUUAUAAUUGGAGUUACUUUUUUAUUUUUCAGUUAACAAAAACCAGCAUCACGCUCAAGGUUUUGUGAACUUAUCAGUUCCCUUAUUUCAACUCCUGGUCCUGUUGGAAAAAGUGACAGUUGGGAGGCAGAACUGCGCAUGGUAGCCCAGAGCUCUUACCAUCUGAGCCACGUGCCCAUUCAUUUCUCAUUUCAGAAUACUGCAUUGUGUCACAAGAAUUCAACUAUGUACUCAUGGAGAAGGAGGGAGAAAGCAAGGAAGGAAAAAAGAGAAAAGUAAUUUACAUAGUAACAGCAAUUCUGCUCAACAUUCCAUUCAGUGAGCCGAUACCCUGGAGUGCAGAAACUGUUAUGAAUGUACUCCACCAAGGCAAGAAAGGAAGAAGACAUGGAAUUUAAAAAACAGAGGAUCUACUAUGAAAGAGAAAGGUGAAGGGAAUUCCAGGCUGAUGGUAAAUGCAAAUUCCAGGAUGAGAGUUGGGCAGCAGGCCUAGAGUGCACUCCGUCCUGGGAGGAGCCAGAUGAUAGAGGGCUCUAGGAGAGAAGGCUCCAAGGGAAAAUGAAACAAGAGGAGGAGAAGAAACAGGCUUACGCUGAGCGAAUCCAAUGUGCAGACAGACACACAGGGAAGGUGACCAUUUGAAGACGGAGGCAGAAACUGAAGUUGUGCAACUGCAAACCAAGAAAUGCCAUGGAUUGCCAACAACCACCAGGAACUAGAAGAGGCAAGGUUUGCAAGAGGAAAAUACAAAGGUGACUUCUGGGCCUGCUGGAGGUGGAGGGUAGAGGAUGGACAGCUGACAUCUAGUCACAGAGGAAAGAACACAGAAAGAGAUCUCCAGUUAAAGCUGAUAGAUUGAACCACAGACAACCCACCUCCUUCUAAAAUCCCUCUAGAACAAUGGUUUAAAAAAAGUGCUUUAACAUAAAACUUCAAAAUCAAAAAGAUAAGGAAAAUGAUGAAAACCACUCAGAUAAGAAGAGAGGAUAUUUAUGCAGAGGCUGCUGUCGUUGGGAGUCCGCCACCAUACCACUAUACUUUGGUGAGACUUGAAGGCAGGCAGGGAGUGGAAACACUUUAUGCUGUAGUGAAAAAAGGGGAAGGCUUCGGUAUGCUCUGACUGGAGAUCAUUGUCAUGGGGAAACUGCAGGUGGGCUAACUAGAGGCUGGGCUUCUUGUGUAAUGGUUUGGCUUUCUCUGGUUGGUCCUGUGUUGAAAAUAGGGGCAAAAUAUAGGGAAGCUGACUCAUUGACCAAGCCCUGCCCAGGCUGGCCAAUUGCAGAGGUUGUGGGUCAGAGUUCUAUUGUCAUAUAUGGUCUGGCUACUGUCUGUUUAUAUAAUCCGUCUCUCAGAGAACAGUAGAGGAGAUCAAAUUAUUAACAUUUUGGAAGCUGGAAAGCAGGAGGAUAGUGUGAGCUGAAUUAGCAGACUUGCCAUCUAUCAAAGGGGAUAGCCAAAAGCAAGCCAGAUUUGCCCCAGAGAACCACCAAAGGUUCAAGAAUUGGCAGCACCAGGUACCCCCAGAAGCAGGGAUAAAGUGGGGGCUGAAAUUGGACAGUUGGUUCAAAGUCUAUUUCAGAAGCAUUAGACCACUGGAUUUCUUCCCCAGCUCCCAAAUGACUGCCUGGUGCAAAAGACUCAGGAUUGAUUCCCUGGAGAGGGUAGGUAGUUCUUUGUCUAGUUAAGGAUGGGAUGCCAUAACAAACAUGCCAAUUCAGUGAAAGUACCUACUUUCAAGACUCCUGCUUAACUCCCCUAAAUCAGCAGCCAAUGUUAGAAGCCAAGUGUUAAAGUUUUUCAGAUAAUUUUGCUAUAAGCCUAUGGAGAAAUUUCAUUACCAUCUCAUAGCAAGGCCUAUAGUAUAAGAGCAGGCCUAUAGUAGCAUAUGGGGGAAAGUCUAAAAGACUUUGAAAUGGACCAAAAGAUUAUUGAGAAAUGGAAAACUGCAUUGUUUUAAGUAUCCCUUUCCAACUUAUCAGAUUCUGUGGGGUUUAUACCUUUCAUUGUCUUUGAGGUAUUUAACAAUUCUAAAGAGAUAGACUCUAACUUGUAGAAAACUAAGAGUAACAUAAAUAAUUAUCGUCUUUAGAUAUACAAAUAAAUUCUGUUCUGAGAA